rnacentral:tRNA from 1 species
UGGCUAAGCGGUAAAGUACUUGCCUUCCGAACAGGGGGUCCCGGGUUCGAAUCCUGG